rnacentral:rRNA from 1 species
GUCUACAGCCGUACCACCCUGAAUGCACCCAAUCUCAUCUGAUCUCAGAAGCUAAGAAGGGUCGGGCCUGGUUAGUACUUGGAUGGGAGAAGUAAUGAACAUAAGAAAUACGCAGCUUUAAAAA